rnacentral:rRNA from 1 species
GAUGAACGCUGGCGGCGUGCCUAAUACAUGCAAGUCGAGCGAACGGACGAGAAGCUUGCUUCUCUGACGUUAGCGGCGGACGGGUGAGUAACACGUGGAUAACCUACCUAUAAGACUGGGAUAACUUCGGGAAACCGGAGCUAAUACCGGAUGAUAUUUUGAACCGCAUGGUUCAAAAGUGAAAGACGGUCUUGCUGUCACUUAUAGAUGGAUCCGCGCUGCAUUAGCUAGUUGGUAAGGUAACGGCUUACCAAGGCAACGAUGCAUAGCCGACCUGAGAGGGUGAUCGGCCACACUGGAACUGAGACACGGUCCAGACUCCUACGGGAGGCAGCAGUAGGGAAUCUUCCGCAAUGGGCGAAAGCCUGACGGAGCAACGCCGCGUGAGUGAUGAAGGUCUUCGGAUCGUAAAACUCUGUUAUUAGGGAAGAACAUAUGUGUAAGUAACUGUGCACAUCUUGACGGUACCUAAUCAGAAAGCCACGGCUAACUACGUG